AAGUCGAACGCUUUGUGGUUCAACUGAUUUGAAGAGCUUGCUCAGAUAUGACGAUGGACAUUGCAAAGAGUGGCGAACGGGUGAGUAACACGUGGGAAACCUACCUCUUAGCAGGGGAUAACAUUUGGAAACAGAUGCUAAUACCGUAUAACAAUGACAACCGCAUGGUUGUUAUUUAAAAGAUGGUUCUGCUAUCACUAAGAGAUGGUCCCGCGGUGCAUUAGCUAGUUGGUAAGGUAAUGGCUUACCAAGGCGAUGAUGCAUAGCCGAGUUGAGAGACUGAUCGGCCACAAUGGGACUGAGACACGGCCCAUACUCCUACGGGAGGCAGCAGUAGGGAAUCUUCCACAAUGGGCGAAAGCCUGAUGGAGCAACGCCGCGUGUGUGAUGAAGGGUUUCGGCUCGUAAAACACUGUUGUAAGAGAAGAAUGACAUUGAGAGUAACUGUUCAAUGUGUGACGGUAUCUUACCAGAAAGGAACGGCUAAAUACGUGCCAGCAGCCGCGGUAAUACGUAUGUUCCAAGCGUUAUCCGGAUUUAUUGGGCGUAAAGCGAGCGCAGACGGUUAUUUAAGUCUGAAGUGAAAGCCCUCAGCUCAACUGAGGAAUUGCUUUGGAAACUGGAUGACUUGAGUGCAGUAGAGGAAAGUGGAACUCCAUGUGUAGCGGUGAAAUGCGUAGAUAUAUGGAAGAACACCAGUGGCGAAGGCGGCUUUCUGGACUGUAACUGACGUUGAGGCUCGAAAGUGUGGGUAGCAAACAGGAUUAGAUACCCUGGUAGUCCACACCGUAAACGAUGAGUGCUAGGUGUUUGAGGGUUUCCGCCCUUAAGUGCCGCAGCUAACGCAUUAAGCACUCCGCCUGGGGAGUACGACCGCAAGGUUGAAACUCAAAGGAAUUGACGGGGACCCGCACAAGCGGUGGAGCAUGUGGUUUAAUUCGAAGCAACGCGAAGAACCUUACCAGGUCUUGACAUCCCUUGACAACUCCAGAGAUGGAGCGUUCCCUUCGGGGACAAGGUGACAGGUGGUGCAUGGUUGUCGUCAGCUCGUGUCGUGAGAUGUUGGGUUAAGUCCCGCAACGAGCGCAACCCUUAUUACUAGUUGCCAGCAUUCAGUUGGGCACUCUAGUGAGACUGCCGGUGACAAACCGGAGGAAGGUGGGGAUGACGUCAAAUCAUCAUGCCCCUUAUGACCUGGGCUACACACGUGCUACAAUGGCGUAUACAACGAGUUGCCAACCCGCGAGGGUGAGCUAAUCUCUUAAAGUACGUCUCAGUUCGGAUUGUAGGCUGCAACUCGCCUACAUGAAGUCGGAAUCGCUAGUAAUCGCGGAUCAGCACGCCGCGGUGAAUACGUUCCCGGGUCUUGUACACACCGCCCGUCACACCAUGAGAGUUUGUAACACCCAAAGCCGGUGGGGUAACCUUCGGGAGCCAGCCGUCUAAGG
rnacentral:rRNA from 1 species